UCCAUGAACAUGGAAUGAGGUUGCUGC
rnacentral:piRNA from 1 species